rnacentral:rRNA from 1 species
AAUAUUGGACAAUGGGGGCAACCCUGAUCCAGCCAUGCCGCGUGUGUGAAGAAGGUCUUCGGAUUGUAAAGCACUUUAAGUUGGGAGGAAGGGCUUUAGGUUAAUACCCUGAAGUUUUGACGUUACCAACAGAAUAAGCACCGGCUAACUCUGUGCCAGCAGCCGCGGUAAUACGGAGGGGGCUAGCGUUGUUCGGAUUUACUGGGCGUAAAGGGCGCGUAGGCGGAUGUUCGCGUCAGAGGUGAAAUCCCCGGGCUUAACCUGGGAACUGCUUUCAUAACUGCUGAGCUAGAGUACGGUAGAGGGUAGUGGAAUUUCCUGUGUAGCGGUGAAAUGCGUAGAUAUAGGAAGGAACACCAGUGGCGAAGGCGACUACCUGGACUGAUACUGACACUGAGGUGCGAAAGCGUGGGGAGCAAAC